GCCUUGAAUGUUUCCAGGGAUGGGGCAUCUCCCAGCCCCUGGGCAACGUGUUCCAGUGUCACCACGUUCAUCAUAAAAGAUGUUUUCUUUAUGUCUAGUCUAAGUUUACUCUCUUUUGAUUUAAAACUGUUAUUCCUUGUCCUGUUCAACAGGCGUUGCUAAAAAUUCAGUUCUGAUUUUUCUCAUAAGUCCUUCUUAAGUACUGAAGAGUUGCAAUAAGGUCUUCUCAAAGCCCUUUCUUUUCUUGAAAGCUGAAUAACUCUCACAGCUCUUCCUGGAAGAGGUGCUUCUCCCAUUUGAUAAUUUCUGUGGACCACCUCUGGACCAGCUCCAACAGGGGUAUAUAUUUCCUGUGCUGAGGAUACCAGAGCUGGAAGCAGCACUCCAGGCAGCUGAAAGUCAAGAGACCAGCAGGCAUAAUUUAGAGCUGCAUGUGCUGUGGCAUUUACAAGGACUGGAGAUAAAUGGGGAUCAUCAUAACGCACUGUGAAUUGCAAUACAACUUUCUUGUUCCCAGUGGCCACAGCAGUGGUCCCUGAUUGAUUGAUUCUGCAAGAAGGCUGAAAGGCUAUUUUUUGAGUUUUCAGAACUGAGAGGAAAAUGUGAAAAUAAAAAUAAACUAUUUAGAAAUUGUGUAGCCAAAUAAACAUACUGUUUGACUAUCUCAAAAAUACAGUUUACGAUCUUUUUAGAAUAUAUACUCCUGGAUUCCAUAUUCAAGCAAUUGUUUAAGGCUUCCAGCUGUGCUCUUUCCAGAUAUAAUGCAGGUGGAAAGAUGAGUUAAUGAUUUAAACAAUUAGAGAUUUGAUGCAGUCUUCCAUCUGUCAAAGCCCACUGAAAUGAAAGUUCACAGUUUUAAUUUGUGCCUCCAGCAUCUAACUCAGUCUGAAAUGGUGUCAACGAUUUGCCCUGCCCACAGUAGUGCUAUUCUUAUGUUAAGCAUUCUGUGCACACAUGCUGAGAGACUUCUAUCAAACAUAUUAGUGUGCAUUUGAGAGAUCAUUAGCCUGAAGUAGCUGAAACAUUCCAGGUUUCUUAGCCAGGAAUCUCACAUCUCUGCUGGAAAGUAUGUUGAGCCAUUGUUAUUUACACAAUAAAGCUAGAGCAGGAUAGGGAUAGCUUUAUAAAGUUUAGCUGGAAUAGUGGUGCUGUGAUUUAAGUGGCACCCAUAAAAGGGUGAGAUGAUGAAUGUUUUGGUUUUUUGUCUAAAAAGAUAGAAUGAAUAAAAAUUUUUCUUGAUCUGCUAGACAGAUUGGUUUUCUUUCAUUUAGUAAAAGCUGAGGUGAAACAAUUUAAUACGGAGUUCAUAAGACUUGAUCAGAUUAUUGUUCUCCUAAAUUGAUAAAAAGUCAUGAGCAUAUAAGAAAUAAGACAGAUGUGAUACUUAUUGUUUGCAUUCUUAUGGAUUAUUUGAUUUUUUUAUAUUCAUCCAGAAAAAGGUAGAGAGGACUGAGAGAACCAUAGUGGUUGGAUGAUUAAAGCUGUACUAGCUAAUAAAUAGGAUGACUGAAGUUUCUGGAUAUUUCUGUUCGGGGAAAUAGAAGAAAGAGCUUUGUGAUUCAGUGUUUAUGUUUAUACAAAAGCAUUAGUGUAUAAGUGUGUUGUGAUUACAAGAAUCCCUUUGUUCCUAAGGGCCUUGAGAAAUCACAAAUAAACAGAACUGAAAUCCAAA